CCUACGGGUGGCUGCAGUGAGGAAUAUUGGUCAAUGGGCGCUAGCCUGAACCAGCCAAGUAGCGUGAAGGCUGACUGCCCUAUGGGUUGUACACUUCUUUUAUAUGGGAAUAAAGUGCAGUAUGUAUACUGCUUUGCAUGUACCUUAUGACUAAGGAUCGGCUAACUCCGUGCCAGCCGACGCGGUAAUACGGAGGAUCCGAGCCUUCUCCGGCUUUCUUUCGCUUCAAGGGAGCGUAGGCGGGUUGUUAAGUCAGUUGUGAACGUUUGCGGCUCAACCGUAAAAUUGCAGUUGAUACUGGCAUCCUUGAGUACAGUAGAGGUAGGCGGAAUGUGUAGUGUAGCGGUGAAAUGCAUAGAUAUUACACAGAACACCGAUUGCGAAGGCAGCUUGCUAGGCCGGAUCUGACACUGAUGCACGAAAGCGUGGGGAUCGAACAGGAUUAGAUACCCGAGUAGUC
rnacentral:rRNA from 1 species